AGCGAGCACUUUUUAGAACUCUUCGGAGGGAAGAGAGGGUGACUGAGCGGCGGACGGGUGAGUAACGCGUGGGCAACCUGCCUUACACAGGGGGAUAACAAUUAGAAAUGAUUGCUAAUACCGCAUAAGACCACGGCCUCGCAUGAGGGAGUGGUAAAAACUGAGGUGGUGUAAGAUGGGCCCGCGUCUGAUUAGGUAGUUGGUGGGGUAGAAGCCUACCAAGCCGACGAUCAGUAGCCGACCUGAGAGGGUGACCGGCCACAUUGGGACUGAGACACGGCCCAAACUCCUACGGGAGGCAGCAGUGGGGAAUAUUGCACAAUGGGGGAAACCCUGAUGCAGCGACGCCGCGUGAGUGAGGAAGUAUUUCGGUAUGUAAAGCUCUAUCAGCAGGGAAGAAAAUGACGGUACCUGACUAAGAAGCCCCGGCUAACUACGUGCCAGCAGCCGCGGUAAUACGUAGGGGGCAAGCGUUAUCCGGAUUUACUGGGUGUAAAGGGAGCGUAGACGGAAGCGCAAGUCUGAUGUGAAAAUCCGGGGCCCAACCCCGGAACUGCAUUGGAAACUGUGAUUCUAGAGUGCCGGAGAGGCAAGUGGAAUUCCUGGUGUAGCGGUGAAAUGCGUAGAUAUCAGGAGGAACACCAGUGGCGAAGGCGGCUUGCUGGACGAUGACUGACGUUGAGGCUCGAAAGCGUGGGGAGCAAACAGGAUUAGAUACCCUGGUAGUCCACGCCGUAAACGAUGACUACUA
rnacentral:rRNA from 1 species